rnacentral:rRNA from 1 species
CCUACGGGAGGCAGCAGUGGGGAAUCUUCCGCAAUGGGCGAAAGCCUGAAGGAGCAACGCCGCGUGAUCGAAUGAAGGCCUUCGGGUUGUAAAGAUCUUUUGACAGGGACGAAUAAGCAAUGCGAAUAUUUUUCUGUAUGACGGUACCUAUUUAGAAAGCUCAGGCUAACUACGUGCCAGCAGCCGCGGUAAUACGUAUGGAGCAAGCGUUGUCCGGAUUGACUGGGCGUAAAGUGCGCGUAGGUGGGCGCUUAAGUCAGGUGUGAACACUCCAGGCUCAACCUGGUGAUUGCGAUUGAAACUGGGUGUCUGGAGGGCAGGAGCGGAAAGUGGAAUGCGUGGUGUAGCGGUGAAAUGCGUAGAGAUUAGGCGGAACACCAGUGGCGAAGGCGACUUUCUGGACUGUACCUGACGCUGAGGCGCGAAAGCGUGGGUAGCGAACGGGAUUAGAUACCCUAGUAGUC